rnacentral:rRNA from 1 species
GACGAACGCUGGCGGCGUGCUUAACACAUGCAAGUCGAACGGUAAGGCCCUUCGGGGUACACGAGUGGCGAGCGGGUGAGUAACACGUGGGUGAUCUGCCCUGCACUUCGGGAUAAGCCUGGGAAACUGGGUCUAAUACCGGAUAGGACCACUGCCUGCAUGGGUGGUGGUGGAAAGCUUUUGCGGCGUGGGAUGGGCCCGCGGCCUAUCAGCUUGUUGGUGGGGUGAUGGCCUACCAAGGCGACGACGGGUAGCCGGCCUGAGAGGGUGACCGGCCACACUGGGACUGAGAUACGGCCCAGACUCCUACGGGAGGCAGCAGUGGGGAAUAUUGCACAAUGGGCGCAAGCCUGAUGCAGCGACGCCGCGUGAGGGAUGACGGCCUUCGGGUUGUAAACCUCUUUCAGCACCGACGAAGCGCAAGUGACGGUAGAUGCAGAAGAAGGACCGGCCAACUACGUGCCAGCCGCCGCCGUAA